ACACCGCUAGCUACUGACGACAAGAAGAAGAAGGAGAGGAAGAAGAAAAAGAAUGAUACAUCGACAGUCUGGUGCAUGAAGGAUUAUGAUAGUAAAGAGUGGGUCUUGAAGCAUAGUGUCAGCAAGGAUGAGCUGCGGAGCAUAACUGGUGUGGACUAUAAAGUGGCUGCUUUUCAUCCAGACCGUGAAACCAUUUUUUUGGAUUCAUAUGAUGUUGAUACAUUGGUGUCAUAUGAUAUGCAGCAUCGGAAAUUCCAUCAAAUCCGUAGUCUUCGGGAAAACAGGGCAACACUAUUUGUACCCUAUGUUCCAUUGUUCUCAGACUCAUUUGCAGGUGCAGAUGGACAGUAGUGUUACCUAUAAGUCAAGCUUGUGCUUCUUCUAAGAAUUUGCUCUUCUGUAGGCGCUGAACUAUUUUUGUCUGUUGAUCUCUGAAUUUGCUUAAGUUAUGUCAUUUAACUUGUGUGCUCCUGCUAGCUUGAUUUUCUGUUUGGAAAAACAUGGUUACUAUUCUUGUCGCUGAAUUAUUCAAUUUACUGGUGCUUGUGUCCUAUUGUCUGGAUACGAAUUAGUUUCAUGUCGCAAAGUUAUUCUGAAAUCUGGUUCUCGUGUUCAAGACACUAAGGAUCUUGUGUCCUAAAUCCUAAGAUUACUACUCGCUCCGUUUCUAAAUAUAAGUCUUUUUAGAGAUUCCAAUAAGGGACUACAUACGGAGCAAAAUGCACUCUAAAAUAUGUCUAUAUACAUCCAUAUGUAGUUUGUAUUAAAAUCUCUAAAAAGACUUAUAUUUAGAAACGGAGGGAGUACAUUAUUAGUGAGGGUUGUUGGUAAACUUUUUACUGUACUGAGAGUCUCUAUCAGAUUGUUGCAAUGUCUAUUUGAUUCUAGCCCUCAGGAUUUCGGUGAUGCAUUCCCAGUGAGCAAAGUUCUUUUUAUCUACUACUUGUCCUGUAGCUAAUGAAUUCAUAAUGCUGUGGCUUAACUUCUGCUACUCCCUCCAAUCCAAAUUAAUUGUCGCAGCUCUAGUACAACUUGUACUAAAGUUGUACUCCCUUAGUGAUCUAAAUGAUCUUAUAUUAGUUUACAGCGGGAGUACUAAUUUGGAUCGGAGGGAGUACCUAAUUUGUUAACCCAACUGAAUACUUGCAUCAAUGAUGAAAGAAAACGUGCAGAUGUGCAGUAGUGUUUCACACCUUUCGUAAUGAAAUCUUUUCUUGCUGGGUGAGAAAAACAAGAAAUGCUUAUUUCUUCCCUGUGUUCCUCUUUUCUGGGAGUCUCCUAAAUGAUGACAUUCAAUCUGCUUGUGCUUACACUGCCGCUAGAUUGAUUGUUUGUUCGGAGCAAUGCCUGGCAUACCUACAGAUUAAUCAUAUCGAUGUGUGCAGCUUAGUUUACUGAAAGUCUCAAUAAGAAUGUUUCAACGUGAGUAUAUUUGAUCUUAGUCCUAAGUGGUAUUGCACUGCAUCGAACAAGUUCCUCUUAUCUAAGCUAAUGAAUUCUGGCGAACCCAGUCUGAAUUUCUAUCACUACACCAUAUAAUUACACCAUGGUUUAUUCAGUUUCUGACCUGAGUAAAUCUAUUGAACUAUGUCCCACAAUUUCCCCAUGUUUCCUGUCAUUUUCUAGACAUCUGUGAUGUUUCUUUGGAAACUACAUUCCCGUUACAGUAUUACCCAAUCCUCGUAGAAUUAUUUUUUGCUCCUACAUGUUUUCCAUAUCACACGAACUCACAAACACACCGAAAAAGAAAAAAUUAUUUCCUACAACUUAGUAGUGAAUUGGUUCAUAUACAUAGUCCGUCAGUUAUCGAAACCAUUUCCUUUACUCCUGUUUUCCAGCAGCUUGAACUGAAAUAGGGACAUUGCAGUGUACAUUCAUCGAUCGUGUCACCAUAAUCACAGCAAAGCAAUGUGAUCUGAGAAACUUUACCACGCUGAUGGUCCGUGAAACCUCUGCGGUUAAUUUGUUGCUCUAUUCGUUCAGAUGUGUUCUCUGAAGGUUGUUUGUUCCAGUAUACUCCAACAUGUACACACGGCUCCCUCCACGGCCGGACAACUGACACGAUGCCAACCAUUAGGCACGGCGACGGUAAGACGACGCUGUACCGGCCGGCGGACGGUGCACGUCGAUGGAACAUGUGCUUCACCAUCGUCUACUCAUUUGUGAGCAAGGUCAUUGCCUUGGUCGACCAACUUUGGGGUGGUCCGGAAGCUUGUGAGGUCAUGUCUCCCCGAGUCUGUCUCGCAUGAUCUGGGAUGGUCGUCCACCCCUCUUCAUCGUCUUCCUCUACAGGAUGGCGGUUUGUUACCGAGAUUUUUGUCGCCGACAUCUUCUGACUCUCAUAGAUGACUUCUCGGCUGCUGCACCAACAACAUUUCCCUGGCCUUGAGGCUAUUUUCAGAGUUCCAUGGGUGGCAUUGAGCCUGCUUCGCUCAGGGCGCACCGCCAGUGGGUGUAGGAGUAGGAUGACGUUAAUUUAUCCAAGGACCGGUAUGUAAUUUUAUUUUUUUAAGGACGACCUUGUAAGGAUUGACUGAUUUCCUUAAUAAAGAUAUUCAGAUGACAUCUUUAGUAUAUAUGUCAUUUGGCAAAAUUAAAUAAACACGGUGAAGAUAAACGAGUGAGCAAUCUGGUUUCAAGUUUCACGUCCUAUAGACAAAUUCUUAUAGGGAAUGGAAGACAAAGUUUUUUUAGGCUUUUUUUAGACAUAUUUUCUUUUAAAAAAGUUAGGCGAAGACAAAGUUUGUUGCGCUGUACAGAGGUGAAGUUUUUUUUUCCAGAAACUGUACAGAAGUAAAUUCUUUUUUUGAGACAUGCACAAAAGUUUUUUUUUCUGAGAAAAGAGACAUGUGCAGAAGUGAAGUGGAGGGGCCAACAUUUUUGUUUUGAGGGAGGGGCUGACAUUUUUUUCUUGAGACAAGAGGGAGGGGCUGACAUGGCCAUGGAAGAUACUAGUAUAAUGUAAAACACGGCCCAGUAUUUCCCUGCUAAUGCUUUUGCGGCCCAACAUUACCCACCAUCCAUCCACUGCUACAGUAACAUUUCCCCAAUCGGUGGGUUACCGAACCCCCGUCGCCGCCUACGCCGCCGCCGCCGUCGCGUCCGACGAACAAUCGCAUCCUACGCCGCCGCCUCAAGCCAAGGUAUUUCUCUUCACGCGCACGGGAAAACCGUCUGCCACCCCAUCAAUUCGUCCUUCUAACCCAGAUUGAUGAAUCCCUUGUUCCUUUAAGCGUCACCAUGGAGGAGAAGAGCUCUCGGCACAAGAAGGCAAGGGCGACCAACCCUCCGGCGUCGGCGCAGGAGGCAGUUCCGGUGGCGGAGGCGGCCAGCCUCCUGACGGACGACCUCAUCGUGGAGAUCCUCUCCCACCUCCCCGCCAGGUCCGUCCACCGCUUCAAGUGCGUCUCGCCGUCCUGGCGCGCCCUCAUCACGGACCCCGCCAACCGCAAGAAGCUGCCCCAGGCCCUCGCCGGCUUCCUCUACAGCACCUUCCACAGGAGAGACCCCCACUUCCAUGAAUUCCACUUCGCCAACAUCUCCAACAGCCCAUCCCCGCCGGUUGACCCGCUCCUCCCUUUCUUGCCAUCCGACAAGUACCUGUACGUCAACCAGCUGGACACCUGCAAUGGCCUCCUCCUCUGCCGCGUCCACAUGGCCCCUUCUUCUCCUUCCGGGGACGAGAAUACGCCGGUUGAAUCCCAUUACAUCGUGUGCAAUCCGGCCACCGGGAGGUGGGUCGACCUCCCCCCUCACCCUGAGGCGCCUCCUGACAGCUUCGUCUUCGCUCGUUUGGCUUUUGAUCCAGCAGUCUCCUCCCAUUUCCGUGUUCUUCAAUUUGAGAACAGCGAUCUGAAGAAAUACGUCACAGGAGUCAACAUAUACUCUUCGCAAACUGGAGCCUGGAAUCAUAGAGAAAGUCGCUUGUUUGAGAAAAUUACCCUCUUCGCCGGCCUUUCCGGUGUCUUCUUUCACGGUAUGCUACACUUGCUUGGUUGGCUGCACCACCCCCUGUACAUGGACGAAAAUUUUGUGCUGGUAGCAGUGGACGUGGAGGGGCAGGUGUGGAAGACUACCCGUUUGCCUUCACGUGGUUUGGGUUUUGGUAGAAUUGGAUUGUCACAGGGGUGCUUGCACUAUGCUAGCAAAGUCCUACCUACUGUUGACAAUAACAAGAAGAAGAAGAAGAAAAAGGAGGAGGAUACAUCUCUAGCUGCCGAGAUAGCAGCAGUCUGGUGCAUGAAGGAUUAUGAUAGUAAGGAAUGGAUUUUGAAGCAUAGUGUCACCAUUGCUGAGUUAUGGAGCAUAACUUCGGCAGAGUUCGAUGUUGCUGCUAUUCAUCCAGACCGCGGCAGCAUUUUCUUGUAUUCAUAUGAUGAUGAUACAUUGGCAUCAUACGAUAUGCAACAUCGACUUCAUCGUAUCCUUCAUCUCGAGGAAAACAACACAGCAAUAUUUCUACCCUAUGUUCCACUCUUCUCAGACUCAUUUGCAGGUGCAGAUGGGCAGUAGUGUUACCUAGGAGUCAAGUUUGUGUUUCCUUCAAGAAUGGGAUCUUCUUUAGGCUAAACUAUUUGUCUGUUGGAUUUUUGAAUCGACUUAAAUUAUGUCAUUCGAUUUGCUGGUGGUUAUGUGCUCCUUUGAGCUUGAUUUUUCUGUUUGCAGCAAUCCUUGGUAACCUUAGAGAUUAAGCAUAUUGCAGUUUUCAAAGAAGAUUGUUAAGCUAUUGUCCUAGGUACAAAUUAGUUUCAUGUGGCUAAAGUAUUCUAAAAUCUGGUUUUCAUAGCCAUGAUAUGUAAGGAUUAUGUGACCUAAAUCCUAAUAUUACUUAGUGUAAUUUGUGUAUUUAUUGGAAGUCUCAAUCUCAGACUGUUGCAAAGCCUAUUUGAU
rnacentral:lncRNA from 1 species